rnacentral:rRNA from 1 species
ACUGCUCAGUAACACGUAGUCAACGUGCCCAGUGGAUAACCUCGGGAAACUGAGGAUAAACCGCGAUAAGUCACUACUUCUGGAAUGGGUAAUGACUAAAAUCUACAUGGCCCCUGGAUUGGACUGCGGCCGAUCAGGCUGUUGGUGAGGUAAUGGCCCACCAAACCUGUAACCGGUACGGGCUCUGAGAGGAGGAGCCCGGAGAUGGGCACUGAGACAAGGGCCCAGGCCCUAUGGGGCGCAGCAGGCGCGAAACCUCUGCAAUAGGCGAAAGCCUGACAGGGUUACUCUGAGUGAUUUCCGUUAAGGAGAUCUUUUGGCACCUCUAAAAAUGGUGCAGAAUAAGGGGUGGGCAAGUCUGGUGUCAGCCGCCGCGGUAAUACCAGCACCCCGAGUGGUCGGGACGUUUAUUGGGCCUAAAGCAUCCGUAGCCGGUUCUACAAGUCUUCCGUUAAAUCCACCUGCUUAACAGAUGGGCUGCGGAAGAUACUAUAGAGCUAGGAGGCGGGAGAGGCAAGCGGUACUCGAUGGGUAGGGGUAAAAUCCGUUGAUCCAUUGAAGACCACCAGUGGCGAAGGCGGCUUGCCAGAACGCGCUCGACGGUGAGGGAUGAAAGCUGGGGGAGCAAACCGGAUUAGAUACCCGGGUAGUCCCAGCUGUAAACGAUGCAGACUCGGUGAUGAGUUGGCUUCUUGCCAACUCAGUGCCGCAGGGAAGCCGUUAGGUUUGCCGCCUGGGGAGUAAGGUCGCAAGACUGAAACUUAAAGGAAUUGGCGGGGGAGCACAUACUGCUUAGUAACACGUAUAGGAAUUGGCGGGGGAGCACAUACGGCUCAGUAACACGUAUAGGAAUUGGCGGGGGAGCACAUACGGCUCAGUAACACGUAUAGGAAUUGGCGGGGGAGCACAUACUGCUCAGUAACACGUAUAGGAAUUGGCGGGGGAGCAC